rnacentral:rRNA from 1 species
GAUGAACGCUGGCGGCGUGCUUAAUACAUGCAAGUCGAGCGAACAGACGAGGAGCUUGCUCCUCUGACGUUAGCGGCGGACGGGUGAGUAACACGUGGAUAACCCACCUAUAAGACUGGGAUAACUUCGGGAAACCGGAGCUAAUACCGGAUAAUAUAUUGAACCGCAUGGUUCAAUAGUGAUUGACGGUUUUUCUGUCACCUAUAGAUGGAUCCGCGCGGUAGUAGCUAGUUGGUAAGGUAACGGCUUACCAAGGCAACGAUGCGUAGCCGACGGGAGAGGCGGAUAGGCCGCACGGGAGGGGGAACACGGACAAGGGGCCUGCGGGAGGCAGCAGUAGGGAAUCGUAGGCAGUAGGCGAGAACAUGACGCAGCAGCGGCAAGUGAGAGGUAAAGAUGUUGGGAUCGUAAAACUGGGUUAUUGGGGAAAAACAGAUGUGUAAGGAACUGAACACGUAUUGACGGUACCUGAUCAGGAAGCCACGGCUAACUACGUG